rnacentral:ribozyme from 13 species
AUCUAUGCAGGUAUAUAUGUGAAGGAAGGAAGGAAGGAAACUUUGCUUAUCCCCUUCUUUGUUUCUUUUGGUUUCUUUUUGCUUUUUGUUUCGUUUUUUUUUUCCUCUUUUCCU